rnacentral:rRNA from 1 species
CCUGGGCUCAACNUAGGAACUGCAUCCAAANCUAACUCACUUGAGUACGAUAGAGGGAGGUAGAAUUCAUAGUGUAGCGGUGGAAUGCGUAGAUAUUAUGAAGAAUACCGGUGGCGAAGGCGGCCUCCUGGAUCUGUACUGACACUGAGGUGCGAAAGCGUGGGUAGCGAACAGGAUUAGAUACCCUGGUAGUCCACGCCGUAAACGAUGACAACUAGCUGUUGGGAGACAAUGUCUUUCAGUGGCGCAGCUAACGCUUUAAGUUGUCCGCCUGGGGAGUACGGCCGCAAGGCUAAAACUCAAAUGAAUUGACGGGGACCCGCACAAGCGGUGGAGCAUGUGGUUUAAUUCGAUGCAACGCGAAAAACCUUACCUACUCUUGACAUACUUGGGAGCUCUUGUAAUGAGAGUGUGCCUUUUGGAACCAAGAUACAGGUGCUGCAUGGCUGUCGUCAGCUAGUGUCGUGAGAUGUUCCGUUAAGUCGGAUAACGAGCGCAACCCUUACCCUUAUUUGCCAGCGAUUCGGUCGGGAACUAUAAGGGGACUGCCGGUGAUAAACCGGAGGAAGGUGAGGACGACGUCAAGUCAUCAUGGCCCUUACGAGUAGGGCUACACACGCGCUACAAUGGGAAAUACAGACGGACGCUAAGCCGCGAGGUGGUGCUAAUCCUAGAAAAUUUCUCGUAGUCCGGAUUGGAGUCUGCAACUCGACUCCAUGAAGUCGGAAUCGCUAGUAUCGC